rnacentral:lncRNA from 1 species
CCAUCUAUUCCUUGUUAGACUCAACCAUAUACAUCAAGGGGAAGAGUACAAGUACCAACAAGAAGGGAGCAACCACAAGCAUCAACAAGAUCAAAGGGCCGAAGGGGCCGAAGAGGCCAACAAUCUUCCUAAACGUUAAGCUUUGCUUUUUUACUUUUGGUUUGUAACUUAAUUAUUUUGAAACUUUGACUCGUAACUAAUUUUUUUGCUUUUGAGUUUGUUACUUUAUUUAUUUUAAAACCUUGGCUUGUAACUAAUUUUUUUUGCUUUUGGAUUUGUUACUUAAUUUAUUUUUAUUGCAUGCAUGUGUAGUAGAAAUUGAAUAGUAGAUCACAUAUGAUUAUAUGUUGCACAAUUUGUGCACAGAUUCAGAUUGCACAGAUUCAGAUUGGUAGAUUCAUAUAGGCAGAUUGCACAGAUUUGUGCACAGAUUCAAAUUUUAGUCUAACAACAGAUUGGGC